GACGAACGCUGGCGGCGUGCCUAACACAUGCAAGUCGAACGGGGUGAUUCCUUCGGGGAUCACUUAGUGGCGGACGGGUGAGUAACGCGUAGGCAACCUGCCCUUUGCAGAGGGAUAGCCAUUGGAAACGAUGAUUAAAACCUCAUAAUGCCAGACUGAGACAUCUCUAACUGGCCAAAGAUUUAUCGGGCAAAGGAUGGGCCUGCGUCUGAUUAGCUAGAUGGCGGGGUAACGGCCCACCAUGGCGACGAUCAGUAGCCGGUCUGAGAGGAUGAACGGCCACAUUGGGACUGAGAUACGGCCCAGACUCCUACGGGAGGCAGCAGUGGGGAAUAUUGGGCAAUGGGGGAAACCCUGACCCAGCAACGCCGCGUGAAGGAAGAAGGCCUUCGGGUUGUAAACUUCUUUUAGUAGGGACGAAUACGUGACGGUACCUACAGAAAAAGCAACGGCUAACUACGUG
rnacentral:rRNA from 1 species